CUGGAAAGCAGUCAGCUUCAAAUAAACCCAGUGAAUUGAAAGAAUACAUUCUGAUUUUGUACAGGUCCUGGGUUUUGGAUGGGAAAGAAAAUAAAUGAGUACUUCAGCUCCAUUAAAUCCUUAUAGAAGAGACUGUAAAGGGUGCCAACCCUCAACUAAACACCUUGUUUGACCUGAGACCUUGGAAAAAGCUUCAAAAAUUGAGUGAUUGCACAGAAAUAGUGUGAAAGAGCUUGUCAUUCCAACAACUGCAUGCAGGCUUUAUCCACCUUCAAGGUACAACCUGGGGCUCUUGCACGGGGAGUUCAAGAGGCAUGAGCUGUUCCUGGCAGGUGCUGGGGCUGAAGCACAGCUGGGGCUGGUGCUCAGGUGUUAGAAAGUCAGGGGAGCAGCAGUGCUGCCUCUCCUGCUCUGCUCCUGAGGUGCGCUGCUUUGGAAUCACCAACUGAUUGUGUUUCAUCUAUAAGGAUUCUGGGAGGAUGCAUUAUUUCUGAUUUUCAGCAGAAACUUACAGGAUCUCCAUAAAGAGAAGAAACCAGCAUGUCUAGGACUCCUCUGAUGCAGCAGUUUCUUAGACUAGUCAUUGUUAUGAGCCACACCCGUUACCUGCUCCCACACCUGCAGGAAAGCUAAUAUUAAACAUUUCAUAGGAGUCUACAGGAUGUCAUUUGUAAUAACAACUGGCACCUGGAAACACUGAAGAGGAUUCAGCUGACAGAAGGAUAACACCAGGUCAUUCAGACAUAACGUGGAAUUGCAGACGAAUUAAAAAGAACAAGCUGUAAAGUAAGAAAGAAAAUGUACCAAAAGUCCCGAGCAGACUUUAGAAAGAGAAGGAAGAAACCAGCAAUUUCAGCAUCAUGCUGCUUGGGCACUGCUAUCGUGUUCCUUUCAGAAAAAAAAAAUGGAAAAAUGAUGCUCCCUGUCACCAUUUCCUCAUUUCCUCCCCUGACUGAAGGCAACUGCCUGAAGACUCGAGAGAAAGAGUGGAAAGAGUGAUUUCUUCACAUGAGUCAGACACAGAUCAUUCAGAGCAUGUGCUCCUGUAAGUGUAUUCCAGAGCUUGGCAUAUGAUGCAAGCCCAUAUUUGGGGAAAAUUGAUGCUCUCACUGGGCUCCCCUCUGAACUGGAGUGGUGAAGCACUGCUGCAACACAGAGAGUAAAAGCCCCCCAGUGACAGAGCACCAGCCAGCUGCUCUUUUGAAGUGGAUUUGUUUAAACCUGCUACUCUAAUGAGCUCACCAAGGAUGACUGGAAGGCUUUUAAUGCCAAAAAAGCCAAGUUUUACUGUAGCAGGAGCUACAGUAACAUUCUUUUAAUAAAAAAAAAAAUCAGUGCAACUUAUUAGAAAUAAGAGAGAUCAAAUCUUGUAUUUCUUUGUGCCACAGAGAGGCUCCUGCCUUUUAGCCACUCAUCAGCGGUUGCCAAGAGUGGCCCCAUCUCUUAUUAGGAAACUGUUGCCUCAGAAGCAGGACUUCCACACUUCACUUGAAACCUCUCACAAACUGAUUCAUCUGCCCAAAAAAGUUUUAAUUUCCUUUACCAUCACCUAACCUACUUAGUGUAAGUUCAGCUCAGAGGAGAGAGUUUAAAUAAUACAAAGCUUCAGCCACCUAAUUUGCAUAAAGUAUUUUUCAUUCUCUUCAAUAUUUCAACAUGAAAGUAGCAUAUAUCUUAAGGAGCAAGGUAGCCUGUCUUUGUAUUAGCAUCAAUCUAAAGAGUGUUCCUUGAGAAAUAGUUCAUUUCAAACUGUAUAUUGCAGUAAUAAGCACUGACCAAGCAUUUUUUUCUCUCAGGUAGUUUUCAAUAUCUGUCACAAGCUAUAGAACACAACCCUCCAGAGAAAAAUUAGCAUUCAGGAUUGAUGAGAACAAGAAUAAUGUAUGAAACUUAAUAGGCUAGAGUCCAUAGAAAUCAUGGCAGAAGUAUGGAUUUUACAAUGUAUUCAUUAUGUGAUGUAACCAUUUUCUUAAGUUUGGCAAAUAACCCAACGAAGGCCAAAAAAAAAAAAAAAGUGGUUUAGACAUUUAACUAGAGAAUGCAUAGAGUGCAAUUGUUUUCAUGCUAAAAUGUCACAGCAAGAGCUGACAUCCAGGAUUAAACUGGCAUGUUUUGAAAUGUAAGUGGUCAAGCAUGUUUCACAUUAUGAUCAUUCUUCAGUUUAAAUAUUUCAGAUGUGGUUUUGUUCUACAAAAUUGGACAUUGGCAACAAAAGAGCAGAUUCAGAUUUGGUUCUUACAGGUAAGCAAUUCCAAAUCGCUUUGCAGCAGGCACAGUCAUUCCCAUUUGUCCAUCAACAAGUUUUAAGCAUUACUUACCUGAUCUCAAGAUUUUUUUCCUUUUCAUUUAAUGUGUGUUAGAAAAAAAUCUGUGCAAAUACGUUCAACAGCUGUAUUUUAU